rnacentral:rRNA from 1 species
UACGUAGGGCGCAAGCGUUGUCCGGAAUUAUUGGGCGUAAAGAGCUCGUAGGCGGUCUGUCGCGUCCGUUGUGAAAACUCGAGGCUCAACCUCGGGCUUGCAGUGGAUACGGGCAGACUAGAGUGCGGUAGGGGAGACUGGAAUCCUGGUGUAGCGGUGGAAUGCGCAGAUAUCAGGAGGAACACCGAUGGCGAAGGCAGGUCUCUGGGCCGCGAACUGACGCUGAGGAGCGAAAGCAUGGGGAGCGAACAGG